GGAAUAUUGGACAAUGGGCGCAAGCCUGAUCCAGCCAUGCCGCGUGUGUGAAGAAGGCCUUCGGGUUGUAAAGCUCUUUUGGCGGGGACGAUGAUGACGGUACCCGCAGAAUAAGCCCCGGCUAACUUCGUGCCAGCAGCCGCGGUAAGACGAAGGGGGCUAGCGUUGUUCGGAAUUACUGGGCGUAAAGCGCGUGUAGGCGGUUGCCAAAGUCGGGUGUGAAAGCCUUGAGCUCAACUCAAGAAAUGCACUCGAUACUUGGUGACUAGAGGACCGGAGAGGAUAGUGGAAUUCCCAGUGUAGUGGUGAAAUACGUAGAGAUUGGGAAGAACACCAGUGGCGAAGGCGGCUAUCUGGACGGUUUCUGACGCUAAGACGCGAAAGCGUGGGGAGC
rnacentral:rRNA from 1 species